GUAGAGAGAUGAGGAAUCCAUGCCGUCCAAACACUUGAAGACAAAGUAGAUUCAGAAGAGAAAAGCAAGCUUUACUUUACGACCCAGAAAAAGGAGAUUUCAAACCUACAAGAGAGUGAGCUUAGGAAAUUGGGUCGACACUAAACAUAACCCUAUUUCUUCUUCAUCUUCAUACCCUCAACCCCACCCCACCCCACCCCCACCCCCACCCUACGUCUGUCUAUAUUUAAUGGCCAGGUUUUGUGAUUCAAUAUUGCAAUCCCACAUGAAAUUAGGAGCUCCCUUUUCUUUUGUUGAGUAUUUGGCCAUGCUUGUUUCUUGCCAUCUUCUUCUGUGUGUUUUAGUGUGUGUUUUAGAAGGUGUUGAAAAGGGUUUUUGUGGGUUUGAUUUGUUUGCCAUUCUUUAAUUUGGUUUUGAGCCCUAUUUUCUCCACUGUUCCAUCAUUUUUUAUGGCUUUGAUCAGUUCACUUGCUUCGUAUGGUAAAAUUUGGUGCUCGGCGAACAUUGUUUUUUAUUGUCGUUUCAAGAAAACACGCGUAACAUAUAGUGGAAUCGAUGCGUACACACGCUUAUUUAUAUAUGCCUGGCUCCCUGUAUGCCAUUUGUAGAGCUCAUCGGAAAAAUCGAUGGGUCUCCGUGGAUGGCGUAUGAGGAGCCAAGCAUAUCCACACAUUCUAUAUAUGUGUUGCAAUUUUCAAUUUUGCCACAUACAAGAUAAUUGUUCCCCGUUUAUCCCUUGAUCCAAAUUUCCAAGCAACUAACAAUGCAAUAUCAAGAUAUAUUGGACAUAUGUAUGUAGUGCUUGGCCAAUCAGAUCUCAAGAAACCCAAACUUUUUUACUAGCAAGAUUUUGAUCAGAGAUGCUAUAUAUCUAGCUAGCUAGCUAGCUAGGUAGAUGAUAGUGGUUACUAUGUGGGUAGAUAGAUACAAAUUUGAAAACCAAAAAAGUAAUGGGGUGAAGAUGUGCUCAAAAUUAUUAGUUGGGAAGGUGAGGCUAAGGGCUGUGAUUAUAUAGGAAAGUGAAACAGAUGGAUCUGUGGAGAUGCUUAGGGUUUUUUAGGUCCAUCUGCAUAGACCCUAGUGUGGGCCUAACGCUGUGUAUUUUGUGUGUGUGUGAUAGCUACUUGAGGAAGAGGGCAUAUUUCAUUUUUUUUCAUUUCAUUAUUUGUAUUAGUAUAUGGUUGGUUAAUUGAAGACACACAUACAUGAUACAACCAUGUACAUUACACUCCCAUGUUUGUGAGAGAUAGGGGUAUGUGAUAUGUGGAGAGAUGGGAGUGUGUGAGUAGGAAAAAGGGGUUUUGUUAUCAUAUGAUGGCUGCUUUUGCUGGGCUUUUGGGAUUCCAAUUGAAUCAUUGUAACAUUUAGUAUUGAGAGGGAAUGGGGCAAUGGACCACUUCUCCCACCACCUAUUCAAAAACAAGAAAAUGAAUACUAUUUCAAAAUUUAAUCACACUAUCUCUCUCUCUCUAUUUGUUGGUGUGUGGCUGGUUAGUAGAGAAUAAAAUUACACAGUCAAUGCAGGUCAAAAAAGGACAUAGAUUGGGUUUGUGGCAUCAAGAAAAGGGACCACCUCCACCCCUUCCUGGAGAUCUCCUGAAACCAAUUGGAUUUUGGGUGCUCUCUCUCUCUCUCUCUCAUCAUGUGCAUGCAUGUGUGUGUGUAUGCUUACACAGACACACACAGCGCCCAUCAGUGAGUGUAGUAUGCAGUGUGGAGAACAUUCCCCUGCAUAUAUCAGCUUUGUCUAAAAAGGAGGUCAAGAAAAAUAAUUAAAAAGAAAUAUUACAAAAAAAAA